AACGAACGCUGGCGGCAUGCCUAACACAUGCAAGUCGAACGAAACCUUCGGGUCUAGUGGCGCACGGGUGCGUAACGCGUGGGAACCUGCCCUUAGGUUCGGAAUAACUCCCCGAAAGGGGUGCUAAUACCGGAUAAUGUCUUCGGACCAAAGAUUUAUCGCCUUUGGAUGGGCCCGCGUUGGAUUAGCUAGUUGGUAGGGUAAAAGCCUGCCAAGGCGAGGAUCCAUAGCUGGUCUGAGAGGAUGAUCAGCCACACUGGGACUGAGACACGGCCCAGACUGGUGGGAGAGGCAGGGGUGGGUGAUAUUGGAGCAGGGGCGAGAGCCUGAUCCGGCGAUGGCGCGUGAGUGAUGAAGGCGUUGGGGUUGUAAAGCUCUUUUACCGGGGAUGAUAAUGACGGUACCGGGAGAAGAAGCUCCGGCUAACUACGUG
rnacentral:rRNA from 1 species